rnacentral:rRNA from 1 species
AACGAACGCUGGCGGCAGGCUUAACACAUGCAGGUCGAGCGCCCCGCAAGGGGAGCGGCAGCCGGGUGAGUAACGCGUGGGAACGUACCUUUUGGUUCGGAACAACUCCGGGAAACUGGAGCUAAUACCGGAUAAGCCCUAACGGGGAAAGAUUUAUCGCCGAAAGAUCGGCCCGCGUCUGAUUAGCUAGUUGGUGAGGUAACGGCUCACCAAGGCGACGAUCAGUAGCUGGUCUGAGAGGAUGAUCAGCCACACUGGGACUGAGACACGGCCCAGACUCCUACGGGAGGCAGCAGUGGGGAAUAUUGGACAAUGGGCGCAAGCCUGAUCCAGCCAUGCCGCGUGAGUGAUGAAGGCCUUAGGGUUGUAAAGCUCUUUUGUCCGGGAAGAUAAUGACUGUACCGGAAGAAUAAGCCCCGGCUAACUUCGUG